GCUGCUGGCCGGCCCCAUGCCCCAUGCCGUGCUCCCUCAGCAGCUCCCGGUCCCGCCGUGGGGAGGAGCCUGAGCCCUGAGCCCUGAGCCCUGAGCCAGGCCGGGCCUUGUCCCCCACCCGACCCUCCACCCUCCGGGCAAACAUUAACCACUACCAGCACCGAGGACCUCGGGCCUCGGAUACCCAGGCCCACUCGGCAGGGAGGUGGGGUCCAUCCUACCACAGGCCUGCAGGGCAGCCACUAUAGCCUCCCCCAUUCCGUGGAGAAGAGUGCCCGGGCCGGGGAGCUUGCCCAAGGUCACGCAGCUCCUGGAAGUGGCAAAGUCAGGAUCCAAAGCCUGGUUUGCCGGACUCUUUGCACUGCACCACCAGCUGAAGGGUUUCGGUGACCUCUUUCUGGGGACAUGGGCCUUUCCCAGACGCUGGGUUUGGAGAUGACACCGGCCUUUUCCAACACAUCCAUCCGCUUUUCCAGCCAGCUCCAUCUCUGGGUUGGCUGGCGGCUCCGGGAAGCAGCCAAAGGCCCGCAUCCAUCCGAGUGGCUGGGCUCUGCUGUGAUUACAGCCCAUUCUCAGUCAUCCCGCAUGCAGUUAUCCGCACUGGGGACUAUCCAAGUGACCAGCUACUGAGACCUGUCAGGCCCCGAGCUGGCAAAGAAUUUACCAGGCUUUUUCCGUGCUGAGCCUCCUACUCUGUCAACUGGUCUCCACUGAAACAUUAUGUGGCUAAAACCUAAGAAUAAAUGAGAAACUAUUAAGCAUCUUA